rnacentral:lncRNA from 1 species
UUUUUUGGGGGCAUUCAAUACAUUUUAGACAUUUUUUACUAAAAUACAAAUAUAAUCAUAAUAAUAACAACAUUUUUAUAGAUAAUAUAGUUCAAAACAUUUACUAAAUUUUUUUUUGGAGCAUUCAAUACAUUUUAGACAUUUUUUACUAAAAUACAAAUAUAAUAAUAAUAAUAACAACAUUUUCAUUUAUAAUAUAGUUCAAAACA